UUAUCUUUUGCGUAUCAAAGAGUAGUUUCACAUACUGUGUACACCCACAAGAUAAAAAGAAAAUGUUUGUACAAGACACAGAAUUGUUAAUCAAUGUAAACAAUCCUAUCAGACCACACCAAAAAAAAAAAAAUUAAGAAAAGACCCUCAAUCACUAAACAGUCAAUGAUGUGGCACAACAGGAUGCUUUGUUUGUUUUUUGUCUGAGAGACUACAUUAUCCACAAAAACUUUAUGUACAUGUUGGGAAAAUGCAUCCAGUCUGUGCCAGAUGUGAACAGCUGUGCUGAAGACUGCAUCAAAGAACUGUUAACUUGGUUACACUCCCAGUAUCAAUGGUGCAUUUCCCAGCCUUCAGUACCAAAGCAUUUAAGUUUACGGAAACAAG